rnacentral:rRNA from 1 species
UAGGGAAUCUUCGGCAAUGGACGAAAGUCUGACCGAGCAACGCCGCGGGAGUGAAGAAGGUUUUCGGAUCGUAAAACUCUGUUGUUAGAGAAGAACAAGGACGUUAGUAACUGAACGUCCCCUGACGGUAUCUAACCAGAAAGCCACGGCUAACUACGUGCCAGCAGCCGCGGUAAUACGUAGGUGGCAAGCGUUGUCCGGAUUUAUUGGGCGUAAAGCGAGCGCAGGCGGUUUCUUAAGUCUGAUGUGAAAGCCCCCGGCUCAACCGGGGAGGGUCAUUGGAAACUGGGGGACUUGAGUGCAGAAGGGGGGAGUGGAAUUCCAUGUGUAGCGGUGAAAUGCGUAGAUAUAUGGAGGAACACCAGUGGCGAAGGCGGCUCUCUGGUCUGUAACUGACGCUGAGGCUCGAAAGCGUGGGGAGCAAACAGG